rnacentral:rRNA from 1 species
UUAAAUUUUAUUUAUUAAUUUAAUUUAUUCAUAUUUUAAAUAUUAAAAAUAAUUAUAAAUUAUAAAAGUUUUAGUAUUGUUUAAAGAAAAAAUAAAUUUAAUAAUAGUUUAAUAGUAUUGUAAAAGAAAAUUGAAAUAUUUUGAAAAAUUUUUAUUUUAUAAGAAAAUUUAAUUUAUUGUACCUU